GUGGAAGGACCCGGCGUCCAGGACAGGAAAGUGCGUGAUUUACAGCUAGAGGGAUAGGCGCUGUCCCGGAGCCCGUCCUGGGCCAGGGAGCAGGAGAGGGAGGGACUACAGUUCCCGACGCGCUGCGGGGCGGGCGGAGAUCGUGCGCUUCGGCGCCAGUUGCACGGCCUUAGCAGCCAGUGGCGGCUCCCCUGCUCCUGUAACAGUCCCCUUGUCUUCUGACCUUUCGCUCCUCGGUCAUGUGUCCUCGCCGGUCGCCGCGGCAGCCAGUGAUGCCCGAGCGGCGGGUUCCCAGGCCCAGGUGUGGGCGCCACCGCCCACCAUGCGCCAAGCCCAGAGCCUGGUUGAAUCGUUCGCCACCUUGUCUACCCAUUUUGGCCAUUAUCCUGCCACCUCCAAAUCCUGUUUUUGACACUUCUCGGGAGAGAGAGAAAACGGAAAGAUAAAGGAAUAAACUCCUCGUGGUCGUAGUUAGUGGGUAAAUUCAGAUCUCGUUUGAACCGAGGUUUUUCUUAUCUCCAGCCACCGUAUCCACCACCACCAGAAUCGUCUUUUUAGUCAUCACAGCUGGUCGCCGUCAGUACCUUGUUCAGAAGCCUCUCGCAGCUUCCAUCGUGUGGUUAUACAAUCCAAAUUCCUUAUAAAGUCCAAAUUCAAGAGGAGGAAUGCACGUUUAGUUAAGUUAAUGUCUAGACCUUACCAGCCAAUUUCUAGCUCCUCAGUAUGGAAAUUGCAACUGAAAACACCCCUUCCAAAAAAAGCAGUCUGCAUUUUUCUCUGAGUUUUCUUCUCCAAAUUUCGCACCCCUGACCUUGCUUACACACUCUGGAUACCACCUGCUGUGGAGUGGCGGAAGCAGACAUCCAGCGAUAGCUAAGUUUCCUGUCGUUGACACCCAAGCAAGACAGGCGUGUACCUAACUGAGGACCUGCCGGUGAUAGAAGUCUCAGCUUUUCUCAGAGACAGAUGAGUCUUCCCUUUAAAUGCUGCAAAGUGCUGCAUAGUAGAUGUUAAAUGAAAGUCAGAAAGAAUCAAAUGUGCUGCAAAUAAUUGAAGGCAAAGUCCCAAACCAGAAUGCAGUCCCCUGGCCAGUGACCCUAGAGAUGACGCUGGCUCCGGCGGUGGCUCCAGGUUCCUGAUUGCACAGCUCAUUUGUGGGAAAUUUCUGUGCCACGCAGGCACUUUCUCUGCUACGGAGAGCGGUCCCAACUCACAAGUUGGACUUAGAGCAAGUCUUGCAGCACUGCUUGCCGUAGAACUUGUGGCUGCACAUCCCGUGCUGGGGUACCAGGUAGCACCAGUGGAAGUAGUCUUUGCAGAAGGCAUCUGAAAAUGAGCAGAGCUGCAUUACUCAGCGAUCCCGAGUGCAGCGACUGAUGUUGCCAGCUAAUAGCUCUGUCUGGCAAAUAAAAGCGAAUUUGUCACGCUCUGCGGCUGCUGCAGAGAGGCAGCCCCCAGGUCUGAUGGGGGUCCCGUGGAACCUAUUAUUUUCACAAGAGCCUUCUUGGAAGUUUUCUGCAAAACUGAAAUUUUCUUCUUGUGCUGACCCCACUCACUCAACCACGCAUCUACCCAUUGGAGCCUCUGUUGACUGAAUUUCAAUUCUCCAAUUCUCUGGUUGAGCCAAACCACUCGCCUUCCUCAAGCCACAUUAUCUCUCAGAAUAGCCUUAACAGGCGCCCAGCCAUCUGUCUCCGCAAUGCUGGGGGAUUUUGUGUGUGCACAGGGAUGGCAUUUAGAGGGCACCCAGUGAAUAAGGGAGGCUUUUGUUUAUCCUAGGGAGAAAAGCUGCUUUAGUUAAGAUUGCUUUCUUUAAAUAUAGUGAACAGCAUUGAUAUAGGAAAGAAGUCACGCUUAUGUCACUACCAUCUAUGUUGUCCUGGGGCAUCAUGAGAGGCAGCCCGGUCUGCUCUAUGGACCAUUUCAUUGUAAAACUGGAGAAGAUGCAAAGAGAGAAAAGGUAGAUCAGACGCAAGACCCUAACUCCAGGCCCCCCAAGGAACUGCUCCAGAAACCUGACAUUCCAGCCCCAUGCCCAGGUCAUGCUGAGGGGCCCCAUGUACUCACCUUUCUUCUCUGCAAUGGGGCAGAAGUGAGUGUUGCAGGCCAGGGAGGCCGAAGGCUUCUGGUGCAGGAGGCAGCCUGAGGCCGGCCGGCCCCCAGCCAGGCACUGCACGGACCUCGUCUGAACGCCUCCCCCACAGCUGGCCGUGCACUGUGAGAGCAACACACACAUGUCACCAUGGCCCCAGGCUCUCAGGCACCUGGUCAACCUCAGUGUGCCCACCUUUCUAAAAGGCCUGCUGCUGCAGGCCAGUGAGGGAAGAGCGACUUAGUCGCAGAGGCAGGUGGAGUUAUGGUUGGCCACGAUGUGCGCGAGUGAGCACGGUCCCUGCUCACCUUUUCCAGAAGCAAGCACCAGGCAUGUGCUGGGCCAGGCCUCUAGCAGAGCAUUCCAAACCAACCAGCUGACAUAGCUCCUGGAACCCUUCCUGUUUUCAGAUAGAAGACAGCCUUGAGCCUUGAGCGGUGACAGGACUUGCUCAGGCUGGGAUUUGAACCGCUAGAGUUGGAUUCUAUAGUCUCAACAGACGGUUCCCGGGCUUGGGCUUUGUGGGGGCUGAGUUCACUUUUUAAAAAAGUAAAUAUACUGCCGGGCACGGUGGCUCAUGCCUGUAAUCCCAGCACUUUGGGAGGCUGAGGCGGGUGGAUCACCUGAGGUCAGGAGUUCGAGAUCAGCCUGGGCAACAUGAUGAAACCCCGUCUCUAUUAAAAAAAGAAAAAAAAUUAGCUGGGCCUGGUGGUGGGCACCUGUAAUCCCAGCUACUUGGGAAGCUGAGGCAUGAGAAUCGCCUGAACCUGGGAGGCAGAGGUUGCAGUGAGCUGAGAUCAUGCCACAGCACUUCAGCCUGGGCAACAAGAGCAAAACUCCAUCUCAAAAAUAAAUAAAUAAGUAAGUAAGUAAGUAAGUAUACUGAUUAAAAAAGCUGAUAUUCAUGGAUUGGCAUAUUAUCUCCUCAAAUUACAGGCAGCAAGGAAGAACAAACUUAGAUCCCCCUGCCAAUAAAGUUACCUACAAGUUAUCCUUCUGAUUGAAAAACAUGAAAAGACUUAACAUCUUGGUUUCUAUUUACGGUAUUUCAGAGAACACGGUUGCUGAUGUUACCACCUGGGACCUGGCGCAAAGGUACUUACUUCCCUAACUCUUGUCCCCAGGACCAGCCCUUGUCACUGCUGGUUGGGGUAACCCCUCAUUUCCUCUUGCCUCUGCAUUUGAAAGCACCGCCCCUCCACCCAGACCAUUUGAGGUGGUCUCUCUGUCUACAACUGUGAGUGGCUGGCCAAAAUUAAUCUAGGUAUGGAUAGAAGGAGAAGUGUCUGGAAGUCUAGAGUAUUUUUGAGUGUGUCAAUGAUGGUUGCAUGGCCACAAGGAAACUGGUGCAUAUCUGGGGAUACCAGGCUUGUUCUCUGAGCCUAGCGUGAAAGAAGUAGUGCCCUUCAGGGAAUGCCCUUGACAAGCCACCCUUUCUGGUGGUCCGACGGGGAGAAGCUUGACAAGCCAAUCUUUACAGUGGCACCAUCACCCACAUUCCCAGGCCCCUGAUGCAUGAGGGUGGGCACUGCCAGCUGCUGGGGCUUAUUUUGCUAAGGUGUUGGCAUCCUAUUGAGGCUCCCCCAAUACUUGGAGUAUCAACAGCACAGGGAGAGAGAGGGAAGGAAGGGAGUGAGCUCAGUUAGAUUAUCUUUCAUGAGCUGGCAUAAUGCACAUGCCACAGAACAUGAGCAGGACCCAUCUGAGAUCAACCACUGAAAAUAAAUCAGUGGUUAGGCAGCUAAAGAUACAGAGACACUGGAAUCUGUGAUUGAGUCAUCUGAAAAAUAAAACUACCCACUGUCUAGACUAAAUCAUGUAAAUUGUGCUCAAACGAGGCUAGGGUUGGAAUAUGUUGGAAAUGUAAGCAAUUAAAGGAGCACCUGCAAGAAGAUUGGGUCAGAUAACAUUUUGGAAGUCCUGGUGCAUGGUGGGUGAAAAAAACAACAAAACUGUUGCUUUAAAAUGCAAGGAUCACACUGUGAAAAACUGGGGACAUGCAUGACUCCCUUUGCUGCCCCAAACCUACAAGAGAGUAUGUCAGAGACCAUUCCAGCAAGUGAAGGCAUCAGGCCUGGGGCUGGUUCUCCACAGCCCAAACCAGCCUGCAAGUGAACAACCAGGGACUGAACCUUUCUGGGACCUCCUGCAAUCAGAGCUUUACGAAGUGACUUAAAUCGCUGGGGAUGGGAUUCAGUGAUGGAGCAAGUCAAACAUCUUUAUCUGCCCACUGAGAGGAGAAAAGUUGGAGACACAAAUGGCCCUGAAAGUCACAAGCUGAAACUGUUUGUCUGUUUUUUUCCCCUCUGGAUGAGGAAUGGCUGAGCCCCUGAGCAUGUGUCUGGAACUUAUCUGGGAGGCUUACUCCCUUUGCUUCAAACCCAAUUUUAGAAAAAGUUGCCAACAAUAUAUGACUACGGAAAGUAGAAAAAAUAAUGUGGGGAGAUUCACGUUUGAUUUCAGAAUUAUCAGGGUCACAAGGAUAGAGCCAGAUGUUGCCCAUCACUUAUUACAUCUUUCGGAACAUUCUGCAGAACCACAUUUCUGCCUUUUUUCUCUGCUGUCUGCAUUCCAGACACCCUCUUAGCUCACACAGUGCGCCGAGAACCUUGGGGCUGUGGUCACCCUGCUGAGACAGCAGCUCACAGGAACCCUUUGGCCACAUCCGCAUCCAUCAGUGUCCACAACAUCUUUCGUUUCUUGAGUUAGAUUUAUUUUAUGAUAAGCGGCUCAGGCAGAAUUCCAUUCUUGCUUAAGAUAUGCCUCAAUUAGAAAUCAAGAGAUCUAGCCAUUGGUUUUUUUUUUUGUAUCAUUUAAACAGUUCCAAAAUAAUUAAUAUGUGGUUUGAUUCAUUUUUGUCACUGAUUCACUUAUUCAGCAGAUUUUAAUCACUGAUAUGGUUUGGCUGUGUCCCCACCCAAAUCACAUCUUGAACUGUAGUUCCCAUAAUCCCUAAGUGUCAUAAUCCCAUAAUCCCCGCAUGACCAGGAGGGCAGUAACUGAAUCACGGGGGCAAUUACCCCCAUGCUGUUCUUGUGAUAGUGAGAGAAUUCUCAUGAGAUCUGAUGGUUUUGCAAGGGGCUUUUCCCCCUUUCCUCAGCACUUCUCCUUGCUGCCGUCAUGUGAAGAAGGACGUGUUUGCUUCCCAUUCCACCAUGAUUGUAAGUUUCCUGAGGCCUCUCCAGUCCUGCGGAACUGUGAGUCAAUUAAACCUCUUUCUUUUAUAAAUUGACCAUCUCAGAUGUCUUCAUUAGCAGCGUGAGAAUGGGCUAAUACAAUCGCCCACCUCCCCAGUACCAGGCACUGUUCUAGGCACUUGACAUAAGUAAUGAACACAGUCGACUUGGCCCUGAGCCUUAGGACAGUUGCAAAACCUUGCUACUCACAGUGAGGUUCUUGGCCCAGCCACAGGGGCCUGUGGGGAAGCUUGUUAUCAGGGCCAACUCUCAGCAUCCCUGCUUCCAAGAUGCACAGUGUCAGAAUCGGUGCCGUUCCCAGAUGAUUCCUAUGCACAGGUGUGAGAAGCACUAGUCCAGAGAGUUUUACAAUUCCCCGUGAAAAAAAUCCAUGGGGAGAAAAGCUUCCACAUUUCUCAAAAUUUUCAUUUCUUUAUGUAAGAUGAAAGAAAGAUGUUCAGCUGCACAUUUUGAAAAUAUUUUGAAUGGAUAAAGAUGGUGAUAUACUAGGAGAUGAAAAAGAAGAAACCUGAAAAUGUUUAUUCACUUUUCAUUCCAG
rnacentral:lncRNA from 10 species